rnacentral:rRNA from 1 species
GAUGAACGCUGGCGGCGUGCCUAAUACAUGCAAGUCGAGCGAACGGACGAGAAGCUUGCUUUUCUGAUGUUAGCGGCGGACGGGUGAGUAACACGUGGAUAACCUACCUAUAAGACUGGGAUAACUUCGGGAAACCGGAGCUAAUACCGGAUAAUAUUUUGAACCGCAUGGUUCAAAAGUGAAAGACGGUCUUGCUGUCACUUAUAGAUGGAUCCGCGCUGCAUUAGCUAGUUGGUAAGGUAACGGCUUACCAAGGCAACGAUGCAUAGCCGACCUGAGAGGGUGAUCGGCCACACGGGAACUGAGACACGGUCCAGACUCCUACGAGAGGCAGCAGUAGGGAAUCUUCCGCAAUGGGCGAAAGCCUGACGGAGCAACGCCGCGUGAGUGAUGAAGGUCUUCGGAUCGUAAAACUCUGUUAUUAGGGAAGAACAUAUGUGUAAGUAACUGUGCACAUCUUGACGGUACCUAAUCAGAAAGCCACGGCUAACUACGUG